CUUUCUCCGCCGGCGACCGGCGCACGGUGAGUAACACGUAUGCAACCUGCCCCUCGUCAGGGGGACAACCCGCCGAAAGGCGGGCUAAACCCGCGUACAUGCCACCGGGGCAUCCCGGAGGCAGGAAAGGCUUCGGCCGGACAGGGAUGGGCAUGCGGCGCAUUAGGCAGUAGGCGGGGUAACGGCCCACCUAACCGACGAUGCGUAGGGGUUCUGAGAGGAAGGUCCCCCACACUGGUACUGAGACACGGACCAGACUCCUACGGGAGGCAGCAG
rnacentral:rRNA from 1 species